ACUUUUAAAGGAGAACAGCUAUCCUA
rnacentral:tRNA from 1 species